rnacentral:rRNA from 1 species
GAUGAACGCUGGCGGCGUGCCUAAUACAUGCAAGUCGAGCGAACAGAUGAGGAGCUUGCUCCUCUGACGUUAGCGGCGGACGGGUGAGUAACACGUGGAUAACCUACCUAUAAGACUGGGAUAACUUCGGGAAACCGGAGCUAAUACCGGAUAAUAUAUUGAACCGCAUGGUUCAAUAGUGAAAGACGGUUUUGCUGUCACUUAUAGAUGGAUCCGCGCCGCAUUAGCUAGUUGGUAAGGUAACGGCUUACCAAGGCAACGAUGCGUAGCCGACCUGAGAGGGUGAGCGGCCACACGUGAACUGAGACACGGUCCAGACUCCUACGGGAGGCAGCAGUAGGGAAUCUUCCGCAAUGGGCGAAAGCCUGACGGAGCAAAGCCGCGGGAGUGAUGAAGGUCUUCGGAUCGUAAAACUCUGUUAUUAGGGAAGAACAAAUGUGUAAGUAACUAUGCACGUCUUGACGGUACCUAAUCAGAAAGCCACGGCUAACUACGUG